rnacentral:snRNA from 2 species
GUUCCUUUGGGGACUGUCAAUAAAAUUGGAACAACACAGAUAAGUUUAGCAUGGCCCUUGUGCGAGGAUGACAUGCACAAAAGAGUUAGAUAUCUUG